AUACCGGGCCUUUUUGGGCUUGGUAAUUGGAAUGAGGGAGAGUUAAACGGACCAUCGAGUAUCCAUUGGAGGGCAAGUCUGGUGCCAGCAGCUGCGGUAAUACCAGCUCCAAUAGCGUAUAUUAAAGUUGUUGCAGUUAGAAAGCUCAUAGUUGGACUUGUGUGCGCUGUCCGCGGGUGGCCUGCGCCCAAAAGGGCGUUUCGGUUCGGCCCCGGUGGCGCCUUGAAAUCUGCAGCUGGGGGGACGUUGGCCUUAACUGGUCGGCGACCGCACGCCGGCUGCUCGGUUACUGUGGGAAAAUUAGAGUGUUCAAGGCAGGCAUUGGGUGCAAUUGAAUACAUUAGCAUGGAAUAAUAAAAUAUGGCUCCUGCCGUAUUUUGUUGGUUUUGACUGGUGGGAGUAAUGAUUGAUAGGGACAGUUGGGGGUGCUAGUAUUGAGCGGCCAGAGGUGAAAUUCAUGGAUUCGCUCAAGACUAACUUAUGCGAAAGCAUUCACCAAGGACGUCCUCUUUAAUCAAGAACGAAAGUUGGGGGAUCGAAGACGAUCAGAUACCGUCGUAGUCUCAACCAUAAACUAUGUCGACUUGGGAUCGGCGGUAGUUUUUUCAUUAAGACACUGUCGGGACCACGGGAGAAAUCAAAGUGUCUGGACUCUGGGGGAAGUAUGGUCGCAAGGCUGAAACUUGAAGGAAUUGACGGAAGGGCACCACCAGGAGUGGAGCCUGCGGCUUAAUUUGACACAACACGGGGAAACUUACCAGGUCCAGAGAUGUAGAGGAUUGACAGAUUGAAGCUCUUUCUUGAUCACUUCGGUGGUGGUGCAUGGCCGUUCUUAGUUGGUGGAGUGAUUUGUCUGGUUAAUUCCGUUAACGAACGAGACCUCAGCCUGCUAGUGUAGUCGGCUGGAUUGCCUUUGGCGAUCCGUGAUUUCGACUUCUUAGAGGGACAAUCGACGCGCAGUCGAUGGAAGUUUGAGGCAAUAACAGGUCUGUGAUGCCCUUAGAUGUUCUGGGCCGCACGCGCGCUACACUGCUGGGCUCAGCGAGUUUUACUUGGCCGAGAGGCCCGGUUAAUCUUGUGAAAUCCCAGCGUGCUUGGGCUCGCCUCCUGCAACUGGAGGCGCCAACGAGGAAUUCCUAGUAGACGCAGGUCAUCAACCUGCAUCGAUUACGUCCCUGCCCUUUGUACACACCGCCCGUCGUUCCAUAAGAGUGAGGCAUCCGGUGAAUUCUCGGGAGAGCCUGGGCGUGGCCAGCAAUGGUCUGCUCGGGUUUGAACUUGCAUAAACUUGGUGCCUAUGAUUAGGG
rnacentral:rRNA from 1 species